AGAAGGUUCCGAACAUAAGUAGUGAAUUGGUGGUGGAAUAUUACUCCAACAUUUUGUCGCCGAGUACUUGAAGCUACCCUUGAAUGCUGCUGUUUUGUAAUUUGAAGCGAAGCAAGACUUGAAGCACAAGAAGUGAAUACGAAGAUGAUUUGGUAUUCGUCUUAGCUCGGGUGUGAUCGGCGUGCGGUGUGAGUGCGGGCGAGAGCGGGAGCAAGGUGGGCGUCGGGCAGGAAGUCAGGGAAGAACUAUCAAUCUUAUUGCUACACAAGCGAUGGAAACAGGCCAGUUGAAAGAUGACAUGGAAAAUUACAUUUAUUAUACAACGAUGGGAGGUAAAGCAAAGAUUAAAAUUGAUGUGGUACCACACAAGUUUGACUGUCAACCUAAUCGUAAAAGACAAGGCACUACAACGGUUCUUAGACCAGCUGCAG